AACGGCAGCACAGGGAGCUUGCUCCUGGGUGGCGAGUGGCGCACGGGUGAGUAAUACAUCGGAACGUGUCCUAUCGUGGGGGAUAACUGAUCGAAAGAUCAGCUAAUACCGCAUAAGACCUGAGGGUGAAAGUGGGGGAUCGCAAGACCUCACGCGAUUGGAGCGGCCGAUGCCCGAUUAGCUAGUUGGUGAGGUAAAGGCUCACCAAGGCGACGAUCGGUAGCUGGUCUGAGAGGACGACCAGCCACACUGGGACUGAGACACGGCCCAGACUCCUACGGGAGGCAGCAGUGGGGAAUUUUGGACAAUGGGGGCAACCCUGAUCCAGCCAUGCCGCGUGCAGGAUGAAGGUCUUCGGAUUGUAAACUGCUUUUGUCAGGGAAGAAAAGGUCUGUGUUAAUACCAUAGACUGCUGACGGUACCUGAAGAAUAAGCACCGGCUAACUACGUGCCAGCAGCCGCGGUAAUACGUAGGGUGCAAGCGUUAAUCGGAAUUACUGGGCGUAAAGCGUGCGCAGGCGGUUCUGUAAGACAGAUGUGAAAUCCCCGGGCUCAACCUGGGAAUGGCAUUUGUGA
rnacentral:rRNA from 1 species